rnacentral:rRNA from 1 species
UACGGGGGGGGCAAGCGUUGUUCGGAAUUACUGGGCGUAAAGGGCUCGUAGGCGGCCAACUAAGUCGGAUGUGAAAUCCCCAGGCUUAACCUGGGAACUGCAUCCGAUACUGGAUGGCUUGAAUCCGGGAGAGGGAUGCGGAAUUCCAGGUGUAGCGGUGAAAUGCGUAGAUAUCUGGAGGAAUACCGGUGGCGAAGGCGGCAUCCUGGACCGACAUUGACGCUGAACGGCGAAAGCUAGGGGAGCAAACGGG